GGACAGCCUUUCGGCGGAAGUGACGCAAGCGGUCAACGAACGCAGCCUCCGAAGAAAACGGCCGCUGAACUGAGACACGCCUACUGAGCAGUAGAGUUUGUUUCUGUUAUUUCAUUGGACUAUUUAAUUAUCGCGGGAGCAGCCACUUUUUGCAGGUUAACGGCUCCGUGCGCGGCCAAGUCUAUCUCAAGUCUGCCUGCCACGGACCACGGAGCUGUGUGCACAUGAGCGGAGGAUCACAUCUGUAGCACUGGACGAUCAUGCUAUUCUUCAAGGCGAUUCAUGCUGAGUGUGGAUCGAAACAUAGUACAGGACAACAUCCCCUCCUUGGUGUCUGCCCUGUCCAUGAUGUUUGGGAGCUAUUAUUGCUUCAACAUGGCCUACCCGUCAGAGCUGGCAUCCACCCUGGAGUUUGUCCAGAGGUGUUUUUUCUCCAUCAACCCAGAGAAGGGCACCAAAGUGGAGAAGCAUCCCGUCUUCAGGUGAACCCGAAAGUCCUCACCUUGAUACAGGAACUUUCGGACCAUGAGUGGCGUGAUGUCUGAAUAUGGACAGUAAGAUCAAUGGCAUGUGGCGAUGUGCCCAAGUUACAGUUUGUUUGAUUGUUUAAAUCGUAGUUACCAUUUUAAGUGCCUUUUUUUUAAUGUUCCUUUUAACAAAUUUUUAAAAAUGCAAUAUGUAACUCUCAAAAUGUCAAACUAUUCUUUUAAGGUCAUUGUAGCCACUCUUGCGGUUUGCUGUUACAAAGUGAAGUUGCUUAAACAAUCUUCAUUUGGCUUAUGUGGAUGUAAAAGCUCAGGACAUUACUGUUGAGUGUAAAAAUGUUGACGUGUUUUGUUUUCCACUUGGGUUUUUGCUUCUGAAGUGAAGGGUCUCUGCUGACCCUACCUCUUCACCUAUCUCACUUAGACACACACUCACAUGUGUUUUGCAACUGUAGCUUCAUCACGUACACAUUUCCUUUAGCAAUUAACAUGUAUUCAACUAAGACAAUCCCUUAUUUUGGCUAAGUUACAGCUCAGUAUGUGGCUGUGACAGUCGAGUAUUAUAUUAUACAGGUGCCCACUAUAAGAGAUGAGACAUAUAAAGUACUAACAUAUUUGAAAACAUUAUUUCCCAUAAAUCAUUUGAUGUGAUGUAAGUAACCUCUCAACUUUGUUCAGCUUGAAUUUCCUGGACAAUGUGAGCUGUUUGUUUAUUGUGCAGCCUUAGUUUGUAUGUUUUACCAAUAUGUAUGUUGAGAAAUGACAGAUGUUUUUGAUCAUUGCUAUUAUAUAUAUAUAAUACAUUCUUGGAAAGGCAAGUUCUUGUUGGAAUUUGUUCAACUUUUAAUACAGUGGCUCUUGAGGUUUAUCUAGCUUUGCAUUUUUUAUUUUAAGUGCUUAAUCUGUGUACCCUGGAUUACAUUCUUCACAUUUCUGGUAAUAGUCAAACAUAUAUAUAUACGAAGGCAGUGUAGUUUAAAUUAAAUCUUUCAAUCUGACUAAUGUAUAGGAAUACACUGAGCACUGAGCAAUAAUCCUUACAGGUGGUUUUAUACUAUACAUUUGAGAUUGA